AAAACUCAAUUUAGAACAUAUCAGUGCAAUUCUGAUAUAAACACUCAACUCAGCACAUAUAAGUUGAAAUAUGACUCAACUUUCAACGCAAAUGUUUCAUCAUUUUGGUGAGUUUGCUAAAAACCAGUCAUGUGUAAUGACCAUAUUACAGACAACUGAUCUAAAAAGUAGUACAAGCAAGUAAAUUUUAUGUAAUUCGGAAAACAACACACAAAUACCAUUGUUGCUAGAUUAUUAAUCUACUACAUGUAAUUAAAUGAAAAUGUACCAAUUGCAGUAUUUUUUGGUAAAUAAAAAUCUAAUAUGUCCGAGAAUGAAAAUGAGGGCAUAUUCAG
rnacentral:lncRNA from 1 species